ensembl:lncRNA
UUUUGAUUACUUUGACUGAAGGAACAGUCACUACUCUUUUAUAACCACAUUUUGAUGUGCUACAGCCUGAAUUCAAAAUGUAUUUUGAAAAUCUAUGACGAAGUGAAAACAUGUUUUUAGAAAUGUUUACAAUUUUAUUGAAAAUGAAGAACAGAAAUAUCUCAUUUACAAGUAUUCACACCCUUUUGUUAUGACACUCCAAAUUGAACUCAGCUGCAUCCAAUUUCCAAUCGUCGCUACAACUUGAUUGGAGUCCACCUGUGGCCAAUUCAUUGUUUUGGACAUGAUUUAGAAUGAAACACAACUAUGUAUAUAAGGUCCGACAGUUGACAGUGCAGGUCAAUUUUUUUGUUGCUAGGGAUGGCUCGAGUUUGAAGUGGAGUGAGUACAGGGCUUAGCAUGACUCUCGAGAAGGCUAAAAAUAGAUUUUGGCUUGGAAAAGUUGAAUAUUUUCAGAAGGAGUCGGGUAAUUAGUUAAGGGAGGAAGAUUGCAGGGAAAGAGAGAGGAGGUUGAAAGACUGAGGGAGGCAGAGGAUAGGUUUGAAUCUGUUGAAGUUAGCAAUAACAAGGGAGAGGGUAUGUCGAGAAAGAUUGGUGUCAAGAUCAAAUGGAGUGAGCCGGACGUCAGUUCGAGUUCUGGAGGUGUAAUGGAAGGGGUAGAAGGUGUCGUGUGGAGCUCGGAGCCUGAGCUUUGCAUUGAUGGACAUGGUUAUGGCAAAGAUACGUUUGGUCCAGUGCGAGUGAGAUUUUUGAAGAGGGUGGAACCAGGGCUUUUUUGUUGAUCAACUUGAGGAAAGACCUGUAUCUUGCUUUGCGCUUAGGUAGUGUUGGGCAGUGUUGAAGGGAGUGAUUCCUGGGGUAGCGUUAAGUAUGGAGCUGGAGCAAUUUAAGUUGAAGAUUCCUGGUGUUUGUGACGCUCACCGUUUUGUGUGACGCAGAUCAAGAAGGACCUUGGGAGUUGACCAGGGAUGGCAGGUGACCAAGAACCAAAUGACCUCUGACAGAACUACAGAGUUCAUUGGCUGAGAUGGGAGAACCUGCCAGAAGGAACAGUCUCUACAGCACUUUACCAAUCUGGGCUAUAUGGGAGAGUGGACAGACGGAAGCCACUCCUGAGAAAAAGGCACAUGACCGCACACUUGGAGUUUGCAAAAAAGGCACAUGAAAGACUCUGAGAGCGUAAGGCAAAAGAUUCUGUGGUUUGGUGAGACAGAAAUGUAACUAUUUGGCCUGAAUGCAUGAAGCUCAUCACCCGUCUAACACCAUCCCUACCAUGAAGCAUGGUGGAGGCAGCAUCAUGCUAUGGAGAUGCUUUUCAGUGGCAGAGACUGGUAAGGAUAGAGGUGAAUACAGGCAAAUCCUUGAUGAGCAUCUGCUUCAGAGUUCUAACGACCUUAGACUUGGGGCGAAGAUUUAUGUUCCAAUAGGACAAUGACCCCAAGCAUAAUACAGCCAAAGCAACGCUGUAAUGGCUUCAGGACAAGAAUGUUCGUCCUUCAGUGGCCCCAGCCAAAGCCCAGUCUUGAAUUCCAUUGAAAAUCUUUUGAAAGACUUCGCCACAGCUCCCCAUCUAACUUAACAGAACUUGAGAAAAUCUGCAAGGAAGAAUGGGAGAAAAUCCCCAAAUCCAGAUGUGUAAAGCUGACAUCGACACACCCAAGAAGACUCAAAGCUGACACCGACACACCCAAGAAGACUCAAAGCUGACACCGACACACCCAAGAAGACUCAAAGCUGACACCGACACACCCAAGAAGACUCAAAGCUGUAAUCACCGCCAAAGGUGUUUCUACAAAGUAUUGACUCAGGGGUGUGAAUACUUGUGUAAAUUAGAUUUCUGUAUUUCAUUCUUAAUACAUUUGAGAGAAGAAAUUAUUAACAUGUUUUCACUUUGUCAUUAUGGGGUAUUGUGUGUAGAUGGGUGAGAGAGAAAAAAGAUUGAAUCCGUUUUGAAUUCAGGCUGCAACACAACAAAAUGUAUGAAUGCUUUCUGAAGGCUCUGUACAGUAUGUCUACAGCACACACACAUGCUUAUCUCUCUUGAUGAUGACUAAGUACCAACUAAUCAUAUCAUGCUCACAGAUAUGAAUGGAGAGAUGAUACAUACAGUAGACAUGAAUAGAUAGAUUAUACUGUUCUAACGAACACAUUCAUGACCAAAAUAUGUUGACCAGCAGCUGUAGUACAUAGCAAACAUGCCUAUCAGCUCACAAUGUUAAGCAGUGAAAUGUAUAUACAGUAUGUUGUCAUUUCAAUGGCCACAUAUACACAGACACUUUGUUGGAAUAGGAGUCCGACACUCAAGCCACUAUUCACAAAGAGUUAACUCGGGAGAUACAGUAUGUAAAGAUUUCCUCUUUCGCUUUUCUUUUUCCUCAAAUCCUCCAUCAAGAAUCAAAUCAGAUGGAGCACUGGCGUUGACAGUCUAAAAACAAUCUUCAAUCCCUCAGCCUGUGAUUUCUAGCUUUGAGACUGAUCUGAUGAUAACAGAAAACCCUCGUCUGGAAAGACUCCGGGGACAUAGCUUUGUGAAUAUGGCUCCCCUUUGGGGCCUCUCUGUGGCUCUGGGGACCACAUGACGACUGACUGAUAAGAACUCAUCAGAUCUGUCUAACAAGCUAAAGGGCCGCUAACGAGGAAGAAUAAUCAUUAUUUUGUGAGUACACUGCUGGCUUUCAAGAACUUUCAACAAUGUGUGAAAAAUUAUAAGAACAAGAGAUGCAUAAGGACUUCUUUUUUUAUAGCCACUCCAAACUGCAGAGCGGAAUCUGAGCA